AUCGGCGUUCAUAUCACGUUGAAUACACCAGUUCCCGUCCGAUCACUGAAAUAAGCAACGUUGAGCGUGGAUACUACCUGUC
rnacentral:rRNA from 1 species